rnacentral:lncRNA from 1 species
UUUUGUUGAACCCAAUACUUGGUCCUUUUAUUGGCUAAGUGUGAACCUUUGGCACCGGUAUAACUUAUACACUAGAGCAAACUAGUUAGUCCAAUUAUUUAUGUUGGGCAAUUCAACCACCAAAAUUAAUUAGGGACUAGGUGUAAGCCUAAUUCCCUUUCAGGGAUCCUGCACCAAAUAAGAAAUAAUUAUUAGUCAUGAAACAUGAGUUGCAAGAUAAUGAGGUCCACAACAACUCAAGAUAAAUAGUACUACAUACCCUUCGUGGAAGUCUAAAUUGCAUCAGUGAAUCAUUACAUCUCAAUGUCAAUGUUAAAUACUAAGCUCAGAUUCAAUUCCUUUAUGCUAAUCAAGUUUAACUACUCAAAGAAAAAGUCCAAACAAUUUUAGUCAAAUAUGUUUAGGGUUUAGGGUUUUAUCCUAAUCAAGUUUAACUACUCAAAGAACAAGUGUGUUAUUUAGCUAGCAUGUACAUAUAAGUUUGCAUCACAAAAAUGUGGCUCACAGCCAAAUCAACAUAGGAAAUUAAUAGAACCUAGUAACCUACUAUUACCUUAGUUUUAUCGAGUGCACACAUUCCAAAGCACUCACUAGUAUCAUCACAACACUAAUUAGUUUAGUUUGUCCAAAAGGGUACAAGAAAAACUGACCCCAACUUGAACUUCAUCUUUUUAGCCUUGAUACUAUAUGAAGAAAUUUGGCUACUAGCUGAGGGCAGCCACUUCUUGACAAUCAUCACUAUCAGACUCCAGUUUAUCUGAAUCUUGCCCAU